UACGGAGGGUGCAAGCGUUGUCCGGAAUCAUUGGGUGUAAAGGGUGCGUAGGCGGGAGCUUAAGUCUGGGGUGAAAUCUUGCCGCUUAACGGUAAAAUGGCCCUGGAUACUGGGUUUCUUGAGUGUAGAAGAGGUAAGUGGAAUUCAUAGUGUAGCGGUGAAAUGCAUAGAUAUUAUGAAGAACAUCAGUGGCGAAGGCGGCUUACUGGUCUACAACUGACGCUGAGGCACGAAAGCGUGGGGAGCGAAC
rnacentral:rRNA from 1 species